CGAAGCUGGAAUCGCUAGUAAUCGCGGAUCAGAAUGCCGCGGUGAAUACGUUCCCGGGUCUUGUACACACCGCCCGUCACACCAUGGGAGUCAGUAACGCCCGAAGUCAGUGACCUAACCGAAAGGGGGGAGCUGCCGAAGGCGGGACGGAUGACUGGGGUGAAGUCGUAACAAGGUAAC
rnacentral:rRNA from 1 species